AUAUAUAUAUUUAUAUAUAUGAAUGUAAAUCGACUUAUACGUGAUAAAAGCGUAAACAAAAGCGCAAUGUUCUAUAUAUUUUUUUUACGAACCUGAUUAAAAAAUUAUUUAAAUAAAUAAUAUGCGUAAAUAUGCAUGUACGUACGUAAGAUGUUUCUUAUUUUUUUUUGCUCGUCAAUAACAUUUUUUUUUUAUUUUAUUUUUUUUAUUUUUUUUGGUAUGACACCAUAUAUAUAUAUAUAUAUUUUAUAUGAGAAGAUAGCUUUCCUGUUUUGGUUCUAGCUUUAUUUAUAGAUUGUUGGUAUUGCUUUUUGCUAUAACAUUUUUAAACUGUUUGCUUAGUAUUACAUUUUUUUCCCUUGCUAUAACUUUUUUUUGCCUUAUUAUAAUUUUUUUUGCCUUAUUAUAAUUUUUUUUUUUUUUUUUUUUCUCUUACUAAAAUUUUUUUUUUUUUUCCCCUUGUUACAAAAUUUUUUUUUUUUUUCAUUUUUUAUAACAUUUUUUUAUCUCUUGCUAUAACAUUUUUUUAUUCCUUGUUAUAAAUUUUUUUUAUUUUUUUUUUAUAUUCCUUAUAUAUUUUAGUUUUUUCCUGUUUCAUUUGAUUUUUUUUUUUGUUUUAACAAAGAUAUUUUAUAUGUUUACAACAUAUAUACAUAUAUAUAUAUAUAUAUAUAUAUAUGAAGUGAUAAAAAUCGAUAACAUAAACUUUUAUAAUAGAAUCAGUUCAGUAUAGUAAUAAUGUUUGCGGGGGGAGUACGCAUAUACAUAUGAGUACAUAAGCAUGUAAAUACAUACAAUUAUGUUCACAUAUUAGUUUACAUACAUAUGUACAUAAAUAAAUGCAUUAGUGUGUUAUAAUUAUAACUGUAUCAAAUUAAAAAAUGACGUUUUUCAAAACUUUUAUCUUACUAUUCUUUUUUUAUGUGUGUUGCCAUUUAACAACAUGUACACACUUUACAAUAAAACCUUUUGAGAGAGACUGUUUCCACAUGAGCGUUAACAAACAUAAUGUUAUUGCUGGGUCGUAUGAUAUAAUUGAAAGGUAUGCCUAUGUAUCUAUAAGUAUUCUUACUAUUAAUAAUAAAAAAAAAGAUAUUUUUUUCAAGUCAGAUAAAAACCAAGAUAAGUUCGAAGUUAAGGUGGAGAAGGCGGGGUUGUACUAUUUUUGUUACGAUAACAAACGAAACAACGAAAUAACACUUAUGUUUACCCUUCGAAUACAAGAGGGUUCUAACGCUGAAGACUCUGAAUUCAGUACCGUUGAUGAUAUGGAGAAAAUAACUUUCAAAUCAUCUAAGUUAUAUUAUCAGGUAAAAGAAAAAAAAAAAAAAAAAAAAAAAAUAGUAGAAAAUGAAAAAAGAAUGUUAAAAAAAAGUAGUGACACCUGGGCUGAUAUAUUUAUAAGUUAUUUUACCCAAAUGCAUAACUAUCUGUCCACUCCAAACACUUUAAUUUUAUUUGCAGUUUUUGGAUGUGGUUGAUGAACAAGAAAGGAUUUUAGAAAAGGCAGACGUAUAUAAACAGGCCAAUGACAAAAUGAAUUAUAAAUUAAUUGUGUGGUCGGAGAUAGAAAUAAUCAUACUAAUAAUAUUAACAUUAGUCCACAUUUAUUAUAUAAAAUCAUUUUUCGAAAUUAAAACAAUAGUAUAGCUAUUCGUUCAUUAUUUUUUUUUUUUCUUUUUUUUCUUUUUUUUCUUUUUUUUUUUGUUUGUGAAAAAAAUACAUAUAAAGUUAAUAUGUAUAGACAUUUAAUUUACAUAUAUAUAUAUAUAUGUGCAUAUGGGUCUACAUACAUAUGUGUGUACAACAUAUAACAUAUAAACAUAUAUGUAAAUAUAUAUACACCUUAGUUCGUGUGGUUGAUAUAUAUAUAUAUAUAUAUGCAUGUCCACAUAAUUUACAUUUUUAUGUAUACACAGAUACGCUGUUUAGAAAAUUAAUUGUUUUUGUGUUAUCCAUAUCAUUUUAUUUUUUAAAAUUUCAUUAUGAUGUUCUUAUAUUUUGAAGAAAAAGAAAAAGAAAAAAAUUUAAAGCACUAUAUAAAGCAUUAUAUAAAGCAUUAUAUAAAGUAUUAUAUAAAGUAUUAUAUAAAG
ensembl:lncRNA